GAGUGGCGAACGGGUGAGUAAUACAUCGGAGCGUGCCCGAGAGUGGGGGAUAACGAAGCGAAAGCUUUGCUAAUACCGCAUACGAUCUCAGGAUGAAAGCAGGGGACCGCAAGGCCUUGCGCUCACGGAGCGGCCGAUGGCAGAUUAGGUAGUUGGUGGGAUAAAAGCUUACCAAGCCGACGAUCUGUAGCUGGUCUGAGAGGACGACCAGCCACACUGGGACUGAGACACGGCCCAGACUCCUACGGGAGGCAGCAGUGGGGAAUUUUGGACAAUGGGCGCAAGCCUGAUCCAGCCAUGCCGCGUGCAGGAUGAAGGCCUUCGGGUUGUAAACUGCUUUUGUACGGAACGAAAAGACUCUGGUUAAUACCUGGGGUCCAUGACGGUACCGUAAGAAUAAGCACCGGCUAACUACGUGCCAGCAGCCGCGGUAAUACGUAGGGUGCGAGCGUUAAUCGGAAUUACUGGGCGUACAGCGUGCGCAGGCGGU
rnacentral:rRNA from 1 species